rnacentral:rRNA from 1 species
AGAAUCAACGCUGGCGGCGUGCCUAACACAUGCAAGUCGCACGAGAAAGCGGGAGCAAUCCUGUGAGUAAAGUGGCGUACGGGUGAGUAACACGUGAAUCAUCUACCUUCGAGUGUGGAAUAACUGAGAGAAAUCUUAGCUAAUACCGCAUAAUACCUACGGGUCAAAGCAGCAAUGCGCCUGAAGAGGAGUUCGCGGCAGAUUAGUUAGUUGGCGGGUAAUGGCCCACCAAGACGAUGAUCUGUA